rnacentral:tRNA from 1 species
GAGUAUAUAGCUCAGUGGUAGAGUGCAUGACUAGCAUGCAUAAGGUCCUGGGUUCAAUCCCCAGUACCUCCA